ensembl:lncRNA
GAUGACCUGGAUGUGAUGUUUUGUGUUCAGAGGGUGUCUUACAGUCGGCUCAGAGAGUGCAGGUCACUUCAGGAUAUUACUGCUUUCUUACAGGCCCUUCAAGCUACACACUCACACACCUCCAUCUGUGCAUAUAUUUCUUAAACACACUCAAUUCAUCCAUGCACAAGAACUCUUGGGCUGCUGGCCCUCUGUGUGUGUGUUUGACACCUGUAUGCCCGCUGGCACGCACGCACACGCACACACACACACACACACACACACACACACACACACACACAGACACACACAGACACACACACACAGACAGAUCUGUGGAGUCAGGCGCUGUGUGUGUGUGUGUGUGUUUCUGUCAGUAUUGAAGAAUUGCAACCAAAGAAAAUAAAUGAUGUGAGCCCCAGUUUCAAGCAAUUGUUAAGUUCUGCCUGGCACAUGCGAGACAUAUUUAAGACCGUUUAGAGACAUCUAUCUGGAGUUGACGAAAAAAUUUAUAACUCUAGAACUGAUACAAUUAAUGAUUGUAGAUGUCAGAGUUCACUGUACACUUCAUGACUCUGUCAGAUUAUUAUAAUCAUGUGUAUAUUGCAAGAUGCAGUUGGGGUUGGCUGGUUAUUUCUGGUAUCAUUUUAGUAAGCACUGGUUUUGCAGUGCUAUUUACAGCAACAAAACACUGAAAUAACCAUAGACUGGAGUCUUAGAUUUUUAGAUUAUUAUUAUUAAUAUUAUUCAUUUAUUUAUUUUUAUUUGCUUAUUUAUUCACGUCUCUUCAUCUCUAUCUGGGGGAUUCAGGUUUUAAAGUCUUGCAAAAGAUGAAACAGUUUAUUUAUUUAUUUUUUUAUAUGCUAAUGAAAAACACUUGCAUCGGUCACAGUUAAGUUCCUGAUACAGAUUAACAUUUCAUACUGUUGCACUGAUAGCCCUUAUCACUCGCUCUCAUCUCUUUCUCUAUCUCUCUCUCUCUCUCUCUCUCACUUACACACACACACACACACACACACACACACACACACACACACAGUGCUCCAAUUACCCAGAACAUUUUCUCCUGAGUCUAGUAAUUUAUGACAUUUGUAAUAGUUUAUCAUUAGUUCAUCCUUGUGUUGUUCUAAACCCAUAUGACUUUCUUUGCUCAAUACAGAAAAAUCAAAAGGUGAAUUUUUGGUCUUUCAUCUCCUUCAUGAUUCUCAUGGUGAAACUGAAAGGGAACAGACAAUCUAAAAUCUAAAAUGACAAACAAGCACCAUAAAAUAUCAU